rnacentral:lncRNA from 1 species
ACAAAUUGGAUGCCAGCUCAUUUGGCAUUCACAUUAUAUUACGAGAAAAAUUUCGAAACAAUAAAGCUAAGCUCAUUAGAAACUUUUCUUUGCGCGAAAAUGCAGCCAAUUUAGUGUGUCAAAAUUAAUAUUAUACUGUUAAUUAUAAUUGACAAUUAUUUUAGUAAUUAUUAAUAUAGUAAUUUGUUGGAAGAUUAUCUAUGCUAUAAUUUUAGCAUGACUCUUAAUUUUAAUUAUCACAUUUUCUACAUAAACAUUUUCUACAUAAACGUAUCAUAACAAUAUAAAAA